GAUGAACGCUAGCGGCAGGCUUAAUACAUGCAAGUCGAGGGACAGCACAGGUAGCAAUACUGGGUGGUAACCGGCAAACGGGUGCGGAACACGUACACAACCUUCCUUUAAGUGGGGGAUAGCCCAGAGAAAUUUGGAUUAAUACCCCGUAAUAUAGUUGAAUGGCAUCAUUUGAUUAUUAUAGCUACGGCGCUUAAUGAUGGGUGUGCGGCUGAUUAGAUAGUUGGCGGGGUAACGGCCCACCAAGUCUACGAGCAGUAGCUAAUGUGAGCGCAUGAUCAGCCAGACGGGCACUGAGACACGGGCCCGACUCCUACGGGAGGCAGCAGUAAGGAAUAUUGGUCAAUGGACGCAAGUCUGAACCAGCCAUGCCGCGUGAAGGAUUAAGGUCCUCUGGAUUGUAAACUUCUUUUAUUUGGGACGAAAAAGGGCCUUUCUAGGUCAACUGACGGUACCAGAUGAAUAAGCACCGGCUAACUCCGUGCCAGCCGCCGCCGUAACAC
rnacentral:rRNA from 1 species